rnacentral:lncRNA from 1 species
GGCGUCUCUCUCUUUCUUGGCAUCCUCCCACCCUUUGUGGUGGCGUGUGGGCUGUUCCAAGAGCUUGAGAUCAGAUCUUUAAUAUUCUUCUCCCUCCUCUCCGAAGAAAAUGUUCAUCCCUCUCUUCUAUAGAGUUUGGUGUGCACGCAAAGUAGAGGAUCCGCACAUCCAGAUCUCACGAAGCAUAUUGAUUUAGGAGCUUUUUCGAUCUUAAUCCUUUUCCGCUGCAAAUCAAGGUGAGAAUUCAUAAAUAUUAUAAAAAUUUUAAUUGCUAAUCUAUUCUACCUUCCUGGCAUCCGAUGCGAUCGGACGAAUUUUUUCUUCACUACUAUCUGUUCAAUUUUUUAAAAUACUAGUAGAUUUUAAUAUGUGAAUAUUAUAUCAAAAAAAAGAUAAUUAACC